CUCUAUAUGAGCGGAUCAUAAAAAAAACUAUAGAAGUAGUUUAAAUUAUUGACAGUAAAAUUUUUGAAAAAUGUUUAAACUACUUUUUGCAUUGUUAAUAAUAACGGCAUUGAUAGUUGAGUUUCACACAGUAAAUUGUUUAAAUUCAAAACUUUCAAAACGUGGAAUAUACCAAGGAUCACAAAAGUGUGAGAAUAUAAGACAUGAUGGAUUAUGUGCAAAACAAACCGCAAAUUUUAGGAAACGAAUUAAUAAUAAAAAUAAAAAAGUAUCCCCAUUUCAAAAGCUAAAUCCUAGUGAUGUUAAAAAAACGGAAAAAACUGAUGACUUACGCUGGUAUGAAAAAGUUGAAAACACAGUUAAGGGGUGGUUUGCUUGAUGGAGAAUGGAAGAAAUUUUUAUCAGAAUCUGUCAAUAAAAAAUAUAUCUAAAUAAAUCGUUAAAUAAAA